GCAAGCCUUGGAACAAGGUAACUGAGUACCUUGGCAACUGCGAGUUCAAGUUCAUGGACCUUCAAAUGAAUGCUUCCCCAAUAAUGAGAUUCAGCCAACAUUUGGCUCAGUCUCUCUAUAUUUUACUUCAAAAUGAGGAGAAAGAAAGGACUUAGUAAACGGAGAGAGGGAGGAAGAGACAGAGGAAGGGAGGAAUGACGGUAAACCUGAGGAGUGAACUCAGAAGGUCAACAACUUCCUGAAGGUCAUUCAGCUAGCCGGGCGCGGUGACUCAUGCGUGUAAUCCCAGCGCUUUGGAAGACCGAGGCGGGCGGAUCAUGAUGUCAAGAGAUCGAGACCAUCCUGGUUAACAUGGUGAAACCCCAUCUCCACUAAAAAUACAAACAUUAGCUGGGCGUGGUGCCACCCGCUUGUAGUCCCAGCUACUCUGGAGGCUGAGGCAGGAGAAUCGCUUGAACCCAGGAGGUGGAGGUUGCAGUGAGCUGAGAUCGUGCCACUGCACUCCAGCCUGCGUGACAGAGCAAGACUCCAUCUCAAAACAAACAAACAAACAGCAAAAAAAAAAAACUUUCCAUCUCCAAUACUAUCACAGGCAUUUUAUGGAGUCCUCGGUACAUGCACUUUCCUACCUCUCUUCCCUCGAAUCAGCCCAGCUUAGUUACACAAUGCUCACCACUCAAAUUAACCAAUGCUCACCACUUAAAUUAACCAAAUAAACCAGGAAGCCUCUCACAA